GGGUAGAUGUGGCAGAAACAGCUAGAGGAUGCUUGCCAAGCUGGAGUGGCUAGACUCUAAUUGGGUCCCACAGGUCACUAGAGCAGGCAGACACCGAUCCGACUCGAGCACCUGUUAAGAAAGUUCAACUAUCAGAGAACAAGGUGGGGGUUCUUCGGUGGGAGGACCCUCUGACUAUUAAGUCAGUGACAAUCGGAGAGAGAGAAUAGUAGGAGAAG
rnacentral:lncRNA from 1 species